AGUAUGAGCAUGCUGGUAGCAAUGUGAUUUCAGUUCAUCUUGCAAGACUCCUGUGCUGUUUCCUGGAGAAGACAGGCUCCUGCCCUGCAAAUUGCGUUGACAUGUGCUGGUGGAGAAGAAGAACAGCUGGAGGCUAUCAUUCCUUCCUCCUUUCACCGAGACCUCCAACCUUCCUCUCGGUUUCUCACAUCUUAGCCCCGUGACUGUCUGAGUCCUCCGCCUCAAAAGAACACACAGAAGAAACAAGGGCUUGACCUCAGUAAUUCCCAAGUGAUGUCCUAACCAUGCAAUAAACAUGGAACU
rnacentral:lncRNA from 1 species